CGGCGGCCGGCGGGCCUGCGAGGGCCGUUUGUUUGAUGGACGAGCCGGUCGGACGACGGAUGGGGUGCCGAUUGGAGACGACGCCAAUCUCGCUCUCCUCCGAUCAACUCGUCAUCUGCACGCUGCGCCCCAUGACUUGUGGCGUGUGGAUGUCGCAGUUCAGAGUGAGCUGAGACACCGAGAGGAGUCUGCUUUUUUAAUUGAGCGAGGCUGUACCCCGACUCACCAUGCUGGACCUGCGUGCUCUGCUGAUGGCGACUCUGCUGAUGGCGCUGCUGGGCUCCGGCGCUGCCUACGAUGACUUCGGCCCGGUGAUGGUGUCCUCCGCGGAGAAGGCCAGCGGUGCGCUGCUGGUGGUGAUCACCGGACUCCUGGCCGCCCUCCGUCUGCUGUGACCCCCGCGUGUGACCUUUGUGACCUCUGCUUGGUACGGCAGACCUGGCAUUGGCUGUCCACGCGUAAGCGUAGCGCAAGUAGCUGUCGCAUGAUUAUUCUAUUUGGCAUCAAGGAGGCGUGAAUACAAAACAGCAAUCAAUUAUGCUUCAGUUACUGAUUUUUAGUCAAUUUCUAAGUCGACUAUAAAUGUAUGAAAGAUGAAACUUAAAGGGGAUCAAAUGGAUAGCUACGAC